AAAAAAGAAUUGUAUAUAAGGAUGGUAAAAAAGUCGCUGUUGAGGAAACAAAAAGAGUGGAAUAUGAGCCACAAAAGAAUUCAGGAAAGAAACACAAACAAGUAAAAGAAGCAGAUGAAGGUAAAUUAUUUCAAUUUGCCUAUAUGGUCACAUUUAGCGUUCUAUGAAGUAUAUAUGUUUUAUUGAUGU